UACGUAGGUGGCAAGCGUUGUCCGGAUUUAUUGGGCGUAAAGCGUCCGUAGGUGGCUAGUCAAGUCUGCGGUCAAAGACUGGGGCUUAACCCUGGAAAGGCCGUGGAAACUGACGAGCUAGAGUGCAGUAGGGGUAGAGGGAAUUCCCGGUGUAGCGGUGAAAUGCGUAGAGCUCGGGAAGAACAUCGGUGGCGAAAGCGCUCUACUGGACUGCAACUGACACUCAGGGACGAAAGCUAGGGGAGCGAAUGGG
rnacentral:rRNA from 1 species